GGUGUGGCAAGACAAUUAUCAGUUGAUCAUGAGCCUGACAACGAAAGGGACAACAUUGAGAGCAGAGGUGGCUUCGUAACAAAAUUUCCUGGUAAGUGAAAUUAUAAGAAGUUAAAUAAAUUUGAGGGUGUAUGACCUAUGCUGCAACAAUUUUUCACAUCUUGGAUACUUUUAUUAGCUUGACAGUGACAAAAGAAAAGUUAAGAAAUAGAGGAAAACCUCAUAAAAGGGGAAUAAAUAAAAGAAUCGAAGAAGUAUCUGUUUAUCUAUGAAAUUGCUAGAUUGUCAAUGUUCAGGGUGUCAUAUUAUGGGGGGAGUAUCUUCGAGCUUGUGAUCUUAUUAAAUAAUAUGUUAUUGAUGUUAACUUGCUGCAUGAAAAUAAAGAAAAGAAAAGCAAAAAAAAAAAAAAAAAGGAAGAAACUGACCAUGUAAAUUGCCAUGAACUACUUGUGAAGGUCCGUGCUCCCUUGUAAUAUCCACGUCUCAGGUUCAGGUCCAUGUUCCCUCAUACGACCUUAAUUCAUUCUUAUUUCAUC
rnacentral:lncRNA from 1 species